rnacentral:tRNA from 1 species
UGGGGUGUCGCCAAGCGGUAAGGCAGCGGACUCUGACUCCGCCAUUCCUGGGUUCAAAUCCUAGCACCCCAGCCA